rnacentral:snRNA from 14 species
AAACUUGUGUUGGGGGUGGGGGGGUAUUAGGAUUGUGAGGGUGUUUUUGUUUCAGGGUGGGGUUACUCCCCUGCCGUCCGCAUGAGGUGAUUCUUGCAAUUUCCCUAAGUGGGGGAAACUUGACUCAUAUUUCCUGGUGGUGGGCGCCUGCGUUUGCGCUGCGCUCC